rnacentral:lncRNA from 1 species
GGGACUUUCAUCAUGUAUGCAGUCCAUCACUGACUGAAAGCUCUUUGUGGUAUGGAAACUGCAUUCUGCAUUUCCUCCUUGGAGAUGAAUCCUUAUUUGCUGUGAACCAAGUGAGAAAAUAGGCCCACAGAGCAGACGCUCAAGAGAUCAGUGUGAAUUUUGCUCCAGUAUGGCAGCUCUGGAGGAUGGUG